AUACGUAGGUGGCGAGCGUUGUCCGGAUUUAUUGGGCGUAAAGCGCGCGCAGGCGGGCUGGUCAGUCCAGGGUGAAAUCUCACGGCUCAACUGUGAGGGGUCCCCGGAUACUGCCAGCCUUGAGGUGCCUAGAGGAGAGUGGAAUUCCCGGUGUAGUGGUGGAAUGCGUAGAUAUCGGGAGGAACACCAGUGGCGAAAGCGGCUCUCUGGGGGCAACCUGACGCUGAGGCGCGAAAGCGUGGGGAGCAAACAGGAUUAGAAACCCCCUGUAGUCC
rnacentral:rRNA from 1 species